rnacentral:rRNA from 1 species
UACGGGGGAGCAAGCGUUGUUCGGAUUUACUGGGCGUAAAGGGCGCGUAGGCGGCCACCGCAAGUCGACUGUGAAAUCUCCGGGCUUAACCCGGAAAGGUCAGCCGAUACUGCGGGGCUAGAGUGCAGAAGGGGCAACUGGAAUUCUCGGUGUAGCGGUGAAAUGCGUAGAGUAUCGAGAGGAACACCUGCGGCGAAGGCGGGUUGCUGGGCUGACACUGACGCUGAGGCGCGAAAGCUAGGGGAGCGAACGGG